rnacentral:misc_RNA from 1 species
CUGCGAGUUCGCGGGAGAGUAAGUUAUUGCCAGGGUUUUUAUUUUAUACUUUAAACCUUGAAUUUAUUUUUUAAAUGUUUAUAUUAUUUGAAUGUUUUAUUCAAAUAAUAUAAAAAAUAAUAUAUAUAUUGACAUGGAUUAAACAAAGAUAUAUAUUAUUCUAUGUUGUAUAAACAAAUUGGCAAAAUAGAGAUGGAAGAUAAAAAUAUGGUCAAGGUAAUAAGAGUCUAUGGUGGAUGCCUAGGA